rnacentral:lncRNA from 1 species
CACAAUCAACUAUUAAAAAAAAUAAUCAAACACAAUCGAGAAAAUAUCAUGAAAAUUAUUCUUUAUAAUCUUUCCAUAUAUUUAACAUCCUCCCAAUCAAAUUGAAUUUGUAAAUUAAAUUGAUCCAACCAAAUCUUCCUCUUCCAAUGAUCAAAGAAUACUUCAAAAUUUGCUUGCAUGCUGUUAUGAGAUUGUAUGCUAGGAAUAAUUAUUUAUUUAAUAGAUUAAUAUAUGGUAGGGGCAUAAAUCUAGAAUUAUUUCCUAAUUGAAAAUAACCUCUGUAUGUAUAUAUGUAACUCAUUUAUGAAUCAGUGAAAUAAGUUAUUCUCCCCAAAACAACAUGGUAUCAAAGCUAGGUGCCUAAUUCAUACCCAUUGUGCGUAUUUCCAGUUUCGUCUCAGUUUGGGUUCUGCUUCUCAGUUGCUUCUUGGAGUCCGAUCUCCAGUGUGCGUAGCUUUGUUCAGGCAACCCUGGUUGAAGGUGCAUCUCAGGGUUUCUGGUAGGAUUCUUCUCUCCUGUGAUUUGGGUCUUCACCGAUGAAUUUCUGGUCGGCGAUUUGAACUUUGCCCGCUUGACCUCUUCUGGUUUCACAGUCUUCUGUGGUUUGGGUAGACUCGUUGAGUUUUCUAGUUGGGUUUGCUAUGGAAAUUGGGGUGGCUACUGGGAUCGAGCCCAAGUCUCCACGGAUUUUGCUAUGGAUUUUGGUGCGGUAAGCGUGGAUUUUGGUGUGGUGUGCAUGAUUUUGCUGUGGAUUUUGGUUGCCAGCGCGUGAUUUUUGGAGAAGAGAUUGGGCUGUAAAGGUAUAAUCAGUGGCUCACAGCUUAUUGGGAUUUUAUUGGGCCUAAGUUAUUUUAGUGGUUGGACUACUACUUUAAGUUGGGCUCACAUUAUAGGGCCGCUGUUGGGUAGAUUUUAUUUGGGCACAUUGUGUUCUUAAUUCGGUCUUUGGAAAAUAAAUAUCCAUUGGUUUGGGCUAUUUCCUUGGGCUCUAAGCGGGUCAGUUUUAUUUUUCUUUUUGGUUGAACCGGUUACUUUGUUUGGGCUGCAUCUUGAUUGAGCUUGCAAUAUUGUUGGACUUAUACUAUUAUUAAGUUGUUGAAAGUGAUAAGAAUAUGUUGAAUAAAAUCUCUAGCGGCAGUUCUCGUGGUUGUUAUUAUUGUGGAGAGCAAGGACAUGUGAAAAGGAACUGUUGGAAAUUGAAUGGCAAACCAGCGAAGAACACAAGUCACACUCCUGUGAGGAAAUUUGCCAAUGUUGCCACUCAGGAUGGUCUUUUACCUACACUUCCAGCUCAGCAUCAAAUUACCAUUCCAGUAGACGAAUAUGCUCGCUUUACACAAUUUUACGCUUCUCAACAGCUUGUUCCACCUUCUGCUUCCGCUUCCACUUUAGCCAAUAUAGGUAAUUCUGUAGCUUGUUCAUCUACGUCAUCCUGCAAAUGGGUCAUUGAUUGCGGUGCCACGGAUCAUAUGAUUGGGAAUACAGGUAUACUUUCGUCAUUUCAGUAUUCUUCUAAAUUACCAUGUGUCACUCUAGCUAAUGGCUCUACAACUCCUAUAGUUGGAUGCGACACUGCAUAUCCAACAAACUCUCUACCAUUAUCUUCUGUUUUAUGUUUAUCUCAGUUUUCUUUCAAUCUUUUAUCUGUGA